UUUUCUCAGCCUCUGCUCGUCUACCUCGGUUGCUUCUCGUUCCAUGUUCAUCCAACCGGCCGCCGAAUAUUAUGUGAGUUGCCCUGGUCUCGGUUUCUCCAUCCAUGACCUCCGCAUUCCGAAUACCCUCUUCCGACGAAUGAAUGAAUCUGCAGGGAGACGGAGAUGGAGCCCUAUUGAGGUUCGGAGGUUCAGACAAGCGGCCUUUUUACACGUUCUUGCCCCUGAGCGGGGGUCAUCAUGAGACGAGAUCCGAAGAACGGCAACGCGGUGAGGAUCAGGAUCACCUCGAUCUGCGCUUGAAGCUGUGAGAGUGCAGGCGAAAGUGGAGGAACCGAGGCCUGCGAGCAUUAAAUUUUCCACGCGAAGUUGAAGUUGGGGAGGGAUUCGGGCCUAAUAACGCAGACUGAUACCCUUUUGCUUAUCGAGACGCUUGUCUUCUUCGAAGGGAGCUUCUGCUCCCGCUACCCAUGUUCUCUCGAGCAGGCGAAGAUCUUGAGAGCUCCUCUUCUCUCCUCUUCCUCGCGGGCUGUCGUCUCGGCCCGUACCUUGAUCGCCCACUCAGUUUGAAACCAAUCCCCAUCCCACCAAUGAUCCCAAGUCCAUUCGAUCAUCCGAACAGAACAACAGCCCUGAUCAAGCUCCGGAAAUAGCCCCCGAGGAAGGUGGAGGUGAAAAUUCUUCGGGGAUGCGGCUGAGGCAGACGCAGCAGAUGGCCAUAGAAACUUCCUACGGGAGAAUCCCUCUCCUCAAGGCAUCUGCCUGGGGAAGCAGUCGUCCUGGGGAAGAUGCCCCAGGAGCUUGAUUCUCCCGCUUCUCAUAGCCAACCUUCUCUGAAAUCC
rnacentral:lncRNA from 1 species